rnacentral:rRNA from 1 species
UGGGGAAUAUUGGACAAUGGGCGAAAGCCUGAUCCAGCCAUGCCGCGUGUGUGAAGAAGGUCUUCGGAUUGUAAAGCACUUUAAGUCGGGAGGAAGGGUUGUAGAUUAAUACUCUGCAAUUUUGACGUUACCGACAGAAUAAGCACCGGCUAACUCUGUGCCAGCAGCCGCGGUAAUACAGAGGGUGCAAGCGUUAAUCGGAAUUACUGGGCGUAAAGCGCGCGUAGGUGGUUUGUUAAGUUGGAUGUGAAAUCCCCGGGCUCAACCUGGGAACUGCAUCCAAAACUGGCAAGCUAGAGUAUGGUAGAGGGUGGUGGAAUUUCCUGUGUAGCGGUGAAAUGCGUAGAUAUAGGAAGGAACACCAGUGGCGAAGGCGACCACCUGGACUGAUACUGACACUGAGGUGCGAAAGCGUGGGGAGCAAACA